AUGAAGUGUUCUACUUCUUCUUCUUCUUCCUCUUUGGUACGCAGCUUUGCCAUCCUUGCUCUCAUAUGCUGUUCCCUGUCAUGCUCGUCGGCGGCAAGAGUUGCUCUUGACGGAAGGCAUGGGCCAACGAGUCCUCCGCCGCCGAUGCCAGGUCGCCAGGUGUCUCCCGUCGCUCCAACUCCAGUUCCAAGGUCUCCGGUCCAUCCUCCGCCGCCACCGCCGCCCAUGCCGGAGAUGUCAGCACGGGCGCCGCACCGCAAGACCCUGGAGCAAGCAUGAAACAGUGCCGCUCUUAUAUUAUUUUCGUCUAUGUAUGUUCGAUCAUGGUGCUAAGUAAUUGAGACGAUAAAUAAUGAAAUUAGCGUA